rnacentral:rRNA from 1 species
CCUANGUGUGGCAGCAGUGGGGAAUUGUUCACAAUGGGCGCAAGCCUGAUGACGCAACGCCGCGUGGAGGAUGAAGGUCUUCGGAUUGUAAACUCCUGUUGCCCGGGACGAAAAGCUUCGACCUAACACGUCGAGGUCUGACGGUACCGGGUGAGGAAGCCCCGGCUAACUCUGUGCCAGCAGCCGCGGUAAUACAGAGGGGGCAAGCGUUGUUCGGAAUUACUGGGCGUAAAGGGCGCGUAGGUGGCCUUCUAAGUCGAACGUGAAAUCCCUGGGCUCAACCCAGGAACUGCGUCCGAGACUGGGAGGCUUGAAUCCGGGAGAGGGAUGCGGAAUUCCAGGUGUAGCGGUGAAAUGCGUAGAUAUCUGGAGGAACACCGGUGGCGAAGGCGGCAUCCUGGACCGGUAUUGACACUGAGGCGCGAAAGCCAGGGGAGCAAACGGGAUUAGAUACCCUGNUANUC